CCUAGCUUAGUAUAAUUAAAAUUGGGUUGUUCCAGGUAGCCUAGGCCUAUAGCUCCCUUUUAGCUAUUCUAUCUAUCUAUCCUAUUCUAUAUCUAUAUUCUAUUCUUGCUAUCCUUUUAGCCUCAUUCCACCCCUGUCCCCUCUGUCUAUUUGUGUUUUUCUUUCGUUCAGCCCGGUGUGGCUGUGGCUCAGGUUGGCGCCAGCCCUAUUGGCCAGCUGCAAUGAGCCAAUACGAUUGUUGCCUGGAGCAGGGGGGCUGUACUCUAUCGACCUCCCUUGGAAUGCUGUGCUUGGCUGUUGCCAGGGUGAUUGCUCAUGUUCCGGAACCCCCCACUAAGGCAUAAAUCAUACACGUCCAUAACUACCUCAGGGAAGCUGAAGGCCUCCAUGGACUCCAAUACUAAACUCACACGCUCCCUGCCCUGCCAGGUGCAAGUCAACCACGGGGAAAACCUAAACACUGACCAGUGGCCACAGAAGCUGAUCAUGCAGCUCAUCUCACAGCAGCUACUGGUUAAAGAAAUACUAAUGAUAGUAAAGAAAAAUAUUUAAAGCUUUUGUAGCUUUCAAAAAAACACCAGGCUUUUCUACUGUGAAUAGCUGUGUUUAUUGUUUUUGUAGCAUUCUCCAUUGAGAGUGUCAUUUCAUGUAUACCCAUGUCUGUACACUUUACACUCAUUUACUUACUCGAGAAAAAUCAAGUUCAUAUAACAGAAAAGCAGAUAACGAUUUCUGACCAUACAUUUGAACUUCAAAGCCAUUGUCAUUAACCAGGAGCCUUUAACUCCUUCCAUUAGGUCAAAAGACGGAAUUGUCUUUAUAACGACUGAUAAAGAAGAUAGGAUGGCAGUGAAGAGGAUAUAAUAAUAAUAAUAAUAAUAAUAAGGCUGUGUAAUUGUAAACUAUGUAAACAAGUGAAUGCUGGGUUUGUGUUGGACAGAAUUGACCCUAAUCGGAUUGGGGUCACAUAGAUUUCACAGAAUGUUUUUUUUAUUACUUUAUCCAGCUUUGUAACAGUGAAAUAACCACAGACCUUUGAUAUACUGAA